AAGCCCUAUCUCCCAUUGUCCUGAGUCUGGUUCUGGGUAAGUGGAGGAGGUUUGAGUGAGUGGAGCGGAGGGAGCGUGUUGUGUUUUGUGGGUUGAUAAGUUCUUUGAGGUAGGGAGGGGCAUGUCCUUGGAUGCAUUGAUGUGUGAGGAGGGAAACCUUGUACUCAAUCCUGGUGGAGACGGGAAGCCAGUGGAGUGAGUGGAGAAUGGGGGUAAUGUGCUCAUGUUUCCGCACUCUCAUCAGGAUCCUAGCUGCAGAGUUUUGGAUGUACUGAAGCCUCUGCAGACUCUUUCUAGGAAUCCCAAUGAGUAGUGCGUUACAGUAGUCCAAACCUUCUAUUCAGAGU